rnacentral:rRNA from 1 species
AACGAACGCUGGCGGCAGGCUUAACACAUGCAAGUCGAACGGGCCCUUCGGGGUCAGUGGCAGACGGGUGAGUAACGCGUGGGAACGUGCCCUUCAGUUUGGGAUAACCCAGGGAAACUUGGGCUAACACCGGAUACGUGCGAGAGCAGAAAGAUUUAUCGCUGAAGGAUCGGCCCGCGUCUGAUUAGCUGGUUGGUAGGGUAAUGGCCUACCAAGGCGACGAUCAGUAGCUGGUCUGAGAGGAUGAUCAGCCACAUUGGGACUGAGACACGGCCCAAACUCCUACGGGAUGCAGCAGUGGGGAAUAUUGGACAAUGGGCGCAAGCCUGAUCCAGCCAUGCCGCGUGAGUGAUGAAGGCCUUAGGGUUGUAAAGCUCUUUCAGUGGGGACGAUAAUGACGGUACCCGCAGAAGAAGCCCCGGCUAACUUCGUGCCAGCCGCCGCAGUAA